GACGAACGCUGGCGGCGUGCUUAACACAUGCAAGUCGAACGAUGAACCAGGGCUUGCCCUGGGAAUUAGUGGCGAACGGGUGAGUAACACGUGGGCAACCUGCCCCAGACACCGGGAUAACCAUCCGAAAGGAUGGCUAAUACCGGAUAUGACCACUUUGGGCAUCCAACGGUGGUGGAAAGGAUUCUGGUCUGGGAUGGGCCCGCGGCCUAUCAGCUAGUUGGUGGGGUAAUGGCCUACCAAGGCGACGACGGGUAGCCGGCCUGAGAGGGCGACCGGCCACACUGGGACUGAGACACGGCCCAGACUCCUACGGGAGGCAGCAGUGGAGAAUAUUGCGCAAUGGGCGAAAGCCUGACGCAGCGACGCCGCGUGAGGGACGAAGGGUCUUC
rnacentral:rRNA from 1 species